GUACACAUGCCACCCUGACUCACCACAAAGCCAUGAACAUGCCCCCACAUGAAUAAAUAUAUAGCAAUUUAAAGUGCAUGAAAUCCAUCAACAUCAAAUAAUGGAGAGCUGUAAUACUUAUCAUUUAAAGUAGCAUAGUGGGGGUAUGCGUGGUGGUCGGGAAAAAAGCCCAACGUGUAUCGCCAGGCUCUGCUGGCUUCCUCAGGGGUGCCUCCCCCCACCAGUAUG